rnacentral:rRNA from 1 species
AGAAUCAACGCUGGCGGCGUGCCUAACACAUGCAAGUCGAACGAGAAAGUGGAGCAAUCCAUGAGUAAAGUGGCGACCGGGUGAGUAACACGUGACUAACCUACCUUCGAGUGGGGGAUAACUCCGGGAAACCGGGGCUAAUACCGCAUAACAUCGCAAGAUCAAAGCAGCAAUGCGCUGGAAGAGGGGGUCGCGGCUGAUUAGCUAGUUGGCGGGGUAACGGCCACCAAGGCGAAGAUCGGUAUCCGGCCUGAGAGGGCGCACGGACACACUGGAACUGAAACACGGUCCAGACUCCUACGGGAGGCAGCAGUGGGGAAUUUUGCGCAAUGGGGGAAACCCUGACGCAGCAACGCCGCGUGGAGGAUGAAGCCCCUUGGGGCGUAAACUCCUUUCGACCAAGACGAUAAUGACGGUACUGGUGGAAGAAGCACCGGCUAACUCUGUGCCAGCAGCCGCGGUAAUACAGAGGGUGCGAGCGUUGUUCGGAAUUAUUGGGCGUAAAGGGCGCGUAGGCGGUGCCACAAGUCACCUGUGAAAUCCCCGGGCUUAACUCGGGGCCUGCAGGCGAAACUGUGGUGCUGGAGUGUGGGAGAGGUGCGUGGAAUUCCCGGUGUAGCGGUGAAAUGCGUAGAUAUCGGGAGGAACACCUGUGGCGAAAGCGGCGCACUGGACCACAACUGACGCUGAGGCGCGAAAGCUAGGGGAGCAAACAGGAUUAGAUACCCUGGUAGUCCUAGCCCUAAACGAUGAUUGCUUGGUGUAGCAGGUACCCAAUCCUGCUGUGCCGCAGCUAACGCGAUAAGCAAUCCGCCUGGGGAGUACGGUCGCAAGGCUG